rnacentral:lncRNA from 1 species
UUGUAUGCAGCUGAAGAAAAGAAUGUUAAUACAUAAAUCAUAUAUUCAGUUUAGUCAUGAUAGAGUAUGUCUUUGAGAGGAAUACAAAGUAAAAAUUUCAGUUAAAAAUAAUGAGACAAUAAAUGAAAUAUUAAAUUCAUGUGGAUACGAACACCAGCAUAUGAUCGACUUGUUUUCAGAGACAUGGUUUGUAGCUAUACUGUGCUCGCUAAUGUUGAAUGUGUUUAUUGUGUUUGGUCCUAAAUUAUAUGACAAAAUUUUCUUAUCUUGAUAACCUACAAAUAUGCUCUAACCUGUGGAACAUUAAGUGAAAACUAUGGCGAACUAUAUUACAAGUGUUCUUAUUUGUUUUCUUUGCGUAAAUCUUUCGGUGUUCAUAUUGUCAUCCGCUGUAGAUGAAAGUGAAUUGCCGACAGUAAGUACAAAGAAUAUAACAGCGCACUACUGUCCGUUUCCGUGCACUGUGGGUAAUGAGACGUCAUGUUAUCCUACUCCAUGUCCACCACCACCUUGCCUUGAUCCGGCAAGGCACAAACCGACAGACUGCUGCGUGUACUGUCCUCAUGGUCCGAACUGCAGAGGUCCUGAUGGGCGUCUUAUACCCUGGCAUCAUUGGGAAAUAGUUCACGGGAAAAACUGUACAUGCAAAUAUUUUACACAGAAUGCUAUAUGUGUGUGAAAUGUACUUAAUUUUAUGUAUGUUCCUUGACAAAAUAAACACGUUCCCUGCGAACAAUAA